rnacentral:rRNA from 1 species
GAGUUUGAUCAUGGCUCAGAUUGAACGCUGGCGGCAUGCCUUACACAUGCAAGUCGAACGGCAGCACGGGAGCUUGCUCCUGGUGGCGAGUGGCGAACGGGUGAGUAAUGCAUCGGAACGUAUCCUGGAGUGGGGGAUAACGUAGCGAAAGUUACGCUAAUACCGCAUAUUCUGUGAGCAGGAAAGCGGGGGACCUUCGGGCCUCGCGCUCUUGGAGCGGCCGAUGUCGGAUUAGCUAGUUGGUGAGGUAAAGGCUCACCAAGGCGACGAUCCGUAGCAGGUCUGAGAGGAUGAUCUGCCACACUGGAACUGAGACACGGUCCAGACUCCUACGGGAGGCAGCAGUGGGGAAUUUUGGACAAUGGGGGCAACCCUGAUCCAGCCAUGCCGCGUGAGUGAAGAAGGCCUCGGUGUAAGACGUCUUCGUCGAGG